UACGUAGGGUGCAAGCGUUGUCCGGAAUUAUUGGGCGUAAAGAGCUCGUAGGCGGUUUGUCGCGUCGGCUGUGAAAACCCGGGGCUCAACCCCGGGCCUGCAGUCGAUACGGGCAGACUAGAGUGCGGUAGGGGAGACUGGAAUUCCUGGUGUAGCGGUGAAAUGCGCAGAUAUCAGGAGGAACACCGGUGGCGAAGGCAGGUCUCUGGGCCGUAACUGACGCUGAGGAGCGAAAGCGUGGGGAGCGAACAGG
rnacentral:rRNA from 1 species